CAGCCGCCGCGGGAAUACGGAGAGAGCUAGCGUUGUUCGGAAUUACUGGGCGUAAAGCGCGCGUAGGCGGUUACUCAAGUCAGAGGUGAAAGCCCGGGGCUCAACCCCGGAACUGCCUUUGAAACUAGGUGACUAGAAUCUUGGAGAGGUCAGUGGAAUUCCGAGUGUAGAGGUGAAAUUCGUAGAUAUUCGGAAGAACACCAGUGGCGAAGGCGACUGACUGGACAAGUAUUGACGCUGAGGUGCGAAAGCGUGGGGAGCAAACAGGAUUAGAUACCCCAGUAGUCCCUGUCUCUUAUAC
rnacentral:rRNA from 1 species